rnacentral:tRNA from 1 species
UCUUAGGUGACUGAGUUAUAAGUGUUAGAUUUUUAAUCUAAAAACGGCAGUUUAGUGUAUUGCCCCUAAGAG